CAGGCCUUGAAUUGAAGGCUAAUGGUUUGCAGUAGCCAUUGGUUUCAAGCAGGUGCCCAGAGGAAAUUUUCCCCAUGGUCUGUUGGCUGUUUUGAAUGUUUGAAUGGAAUAGUCAAUUCACUGGGGAGUAACAUCA
rnacentral:snoRNA from 1 species